rnacentral:rRNA from 1 species
AGAGUUUGAUCCUGGCUCAGGAUGAACGCUGGCGGCGUGCCUAAUACAUGCAAGUCGAACGAAUCUUCUUCGGAAGAUGAGUGGCGAACGGGUGAGUAAUACAUAGGUAACCUGCCCCUGUGCGGGGGAUAACAGGAGGAAACUCCUGCUAAUACCGCAUAGCCAUGAGCACCGCAUGGAGCUCAUGCCAAAUAUCCUUCAGGGGAUAGCGCAGGGAUGGACCUAUGGCGCAUUAGCUAGUUGGCGGGGCAACGGCCCACCAAGGCAACGAUGCGUAGCCGGCCUGAGAGGGCGGACGGCCACAUUGGGACUGAGACACGGCCCAGACUCCUACGGGAGGCAGCAGUAGGGAAUUUUCGGCAAUGGGGGAAACCCUGACCGAGCAACGCCGCGUGAGCGAAGAAGGCCUUCGGGUCGUAAAGCUCUGUUGUAAAGGAAGAACGUCGCAUGCAGGAAAUGGUGUGCGAGUGACGGUACUUUACCAGAAAGCCACGGCUAACUACGUGCCAGCAGCCGCGGUAAUACGUAGGUGGCGAGCGUUAUCCGGAAUCAUUGGGCGUAAAGAGGGAGCAGGCGGCCGCAAGGGUCUGUGGUGAAAGACCGAAGCUAAACUUCGGUAAGCCAUGGAAACCGGGCGGCUAGAGUGCGGAAGAGGAUCGUGGAAUUCCAUGUGUAGCGGUGAAAUGCGUAGAUAUAUGGAGGAACACCAGUGGCGAAGGCGACGGUCUGGGCCGCAACUGACGCUCAUUCCCGAAAGCGUGGGGAGCAAAUAGGAUUAGAUACCCUAGUAGUCCACGCCGUAAACGAUGGUCACUAAGUGUCGGGGGUCAAACCCCGGUGCUGCAGUCAACGCAAUAAGUGACCCGCCUGAGUAGUACGUUCGCAAGAAUGA